rfam:Paraburkholderia susongensis strain LMG 29540 genome assembly, contig: Ga0139082_104
UCGACCCUGCGUGACUGGCGAUAGAACCGAGUCAGCUGACUCAGCCGAUUCAACCAAUCGGGUUCAAGGUGGAACAACCCACCGUGAAGCGCAGGGUGCCGUUUUGCCGUUCGCCUGGGCAGCCGUG